UGAUGGAUCCUCGGAUUAUAACAGAGAACAUGGCGGCCCAGAGGGAAUGGACCCAGAUGGUGUCAUCUAGAGCAACUGGGAUGAGAUUGUUGAUAACUUUGAUGAUAUGAACUUAAAGGAGUCUCUUCUUCGGGCCAUCUAUGCUUAUGGUUUUGAGAAGCCUUCAGCUAUUCGACAGAGGGCUAUUAUUUUCUGCAUUAAAGAUCCAAAAAGUAAUUCCGGCACCUGGAGACUAUAUGGGAGCCUGCAUUGUCUUGCUUGCAUUGGUGGAACAAAUGUUCGAAAUGAAACGCAAAAACUGCAGGCCGAAGCAUCACAUACUGCUGUUGGUACACCAGGGAGAGUGUUUGCUUUGUUAAACAGAAGAUAUUUUCUCCAGAAUGGAUCAAAACCUUUGUUUUGGUUGAAGCAGAUGAAAUAUUGACCCAAGGGUUUAAGAAUCAAAUAAUGAGAUUUUCCAAAAAUUAAAUACAAGUAUUCAGGUUGUGUUGCUUUCUGCCACAGUGCCAACUGAUAUGUUGGAAGUGACCAAAAAAUUCAUGGGAGAUCCAAUUUGAAUUCUGGUGAAAAAGGAAGAAUUGAACCUUGAAGGAAUCCGUUUUAUAUUAAUAUUGAGAGAGUAAUGGAAGUUGGAUACACUUUGUGACUUGUACGAGACACUGACCAUUACACAGGCUGUUAUUUUUCUCAAUACAAAGCACACUGUCAACUGACUGAGAAAAUGCAUGCCGCGGACCUCACAGUUUCUGCUCUGCGUGGUGACAUGGACGAGAAGGAGAGAGAUGUUAUCAUGCGGGAAUUCCAACCAGGGUCAAACCGUGUUCUGAUCACUACUGACUUGGUUUGUGGGACUGAUGUGCAAUAAGUGUCUUUGGUUAUAAGCUAUGAUCCACCUACCAAUUGUGAAAACAACAUUUGCAGAAUUGGCAGAGGUGGUUGAUUUAGGAAGAAAGGUGUGGCUAUAAACUUUGUUACUGAAGAAGGCAGGAGGAUUCUUGGUGACACUGACACUUUCUACAGUACUACAGUGGAGGAAAUGCCCAUAAAUGUGGCUGACCUUAUU
rnacentral:lncRNA from 1 species